rnacentral:rRNA from 1 species
UGUUGCCAGCACGUAAUGGUGGGAACUCAUGGGAUACUGCCGGGGUCAACUCGGAGGAAGGUGGGGAUGACGUCAAAUCAUCAUGCCCCUUAUGUCUUGGGCUUCACGCAUGCUACAAUGGCCGGUACAAAGGGCUGCAAUACCGCGAGGUGGAGCGAAUCCCAAAAAGCCGGUCCCAGUUCGGAUUGAGGUCUGCAACUCGACCUCAUGAAGUCGGAGUCGC